UUCUUCUUCUUCUACCUCUCAUUUACUUCUUCUUGCUGGUUUGGCCUCUAAGAUGGUGAUAUUCUGUUUUCUUCUAAAUGACGGGCUUCCAAGUCCUCCACUGGAUUUGGAAUGGGGAUGCAGUCAGGUUCUGCGUGAAGCCUCAAAUAGGAUGUGUGCAAGUCAAUCAGAAUCAAAUAGCCCAGCAAUAUAGCCCUGUGAAGCGAAAACAAUAAGGCAAUCAGAGGCCAAAAUGUUUAGGAGCUGAGGGAUCUUAUCAAGUUGUUUCUUUCUUUUAAACACAGGGUACUUUUGGAUUGUUUUUGUAUUUAAUGUAUUGAUUUAAACUCAUAGAAUUUUAGAAGACAAAAGUGUUCCUUGUA